CUCUGCCUGUCAAAAAUAAAAAAUAAAAAAAAAAAAGAAGUCCCCCCUUUUAGAAAUUGGACCUACAUCUGGAGAACCCAGUUUUAGGUACAGAAAGCAAUUCCACCCCCCCCCCGGGGGGGGGUCACUGGAAGUAAUAGUAAAUGGAGAAACUGGUCUCUACCCCACAUCAUCUACCUGUUGGGAACCCAGCCUCAUGGAAAGGUCGUUGACUUAAAGGGCGCACAGCACUGUGGGGGAUUGCAGCCCUGGAUACCAUGCACCAGCGCUUCACAUGCUAUUCAUUGCCUGCGAGCUGGUGCUUUAGCUGUGCCCACAAUAAGGCCUUUCUGUUGCUCUGCCAGGCUGACAGCUUCUGCGUGGUAUGGCAUGUUUUAGGACCAGUGGAUUUCAUGGCAUUGUGCCUGCUUCCCCACCCGCUCUGUAGUAAAAUAGGUUCCUUGUACUGAUGCAGUAUGAUAUGGGACAUCAGUGGAUCCAAUAUCAUAAACAGGAAAGACAAAUCCAUACCUAGAAUAUGUGUCCAUUUCUUAUCAAUACAAAUAGCUUUCUAGGAUCAAUUGCAAGCAGCCUGUUCUUGGAGAGUCCUACAGAGUUUGCCUAGGAUACCAUGACAAAAUACUUAGCCAGAAUUUAUUUUCUUGCCAUUGUAGAAGACGUCCAAGAUCAAGGUGCUAAGUUUGGUUUCUCCAAAGGCCUCUCUUUCAUUUGCAUCUGACUACCUUCUUCAUGUGUGUGCAUAACCCCUGGUAUCUCUCUCUCUUUUAAGAUUAUUUAUUUGAAAGGCAAAGUUACAGAGAGGCAGAGAGAGAGAGAUCUUCCAUCUGCUGGCUCACUCUCCAAAUGGCCGCAGUAGUGGAGCUGGGCCAAUUCAGAGCCAGUAGCUUCUGGAUCUCCCACCUGGGUGCAGGGGCCCAAGCACUUGGGCCAUCUUCUGUGGCUUUCCCAGGCCAUGGCAGAGAGCUGGAUCAGAUGUGGAGGAGCCAGGUCUUGAACCGGCAUCCAUAUGGGAUACUGGCACUGCAGGUGGCGGCUUUAACCACUAGGCCACAGCACCGGCCCCAAUGUGCUGUCUCUUUUUAUGUGGACACCAGUGGGAUUAGGUCAUUCACUCACCCUAUGACUUCAUUUCCCCUUAUUGACUAAUUUAAAGGCCCUAUCUCCACAGCCAGUCAUGUUAUGAGGUAGACCUGGGGUUACAGCUUCAACAUAGGCAUUUUGGAGGGGAAUAAUUCAGUCCAUCACAGAGAGUCAGUGCUGGUUGGCAAGCUGGCUAAGCUCUGACCAUGGAGAACUGGUCCCCUCACUGCUCUCUUUCAGGGUCACACAGAGUGAGGCUACUUCUUGGUCCUAGUCCCUUUCUGACUUGCAUGCUGAACCAGCACAUCUGUGAAUAAACUUGGCUUCUGUCUUUCCUGAUCCUCUGACCGUAAGGAACUUCCAUGCAGCUGCUGGCCCGAUAUGAAGCACAGGAGCUGGUGCCACAUGAAUGAAGGCACUGGGGUCCGACCUGCCUUCUCCUGUGGUUUGCGUCCUGUGGCCCCGUUCCUGAUACGUCCUGGAGGCAGAGUGGACAUAGAGAAAGGUCUUCCUUUUCCGUUGGUUCACCCCACAAUGGCCACUGCAGCCGGCGCGCCGUGCUGAUCCAAAGCCAGGAGCCAGGUGCUUCUCCUGGUCUCCCAUGCGGGUGCAGGGCCCAAGGACCUGGGCCAUCCUCCACUGCUCUCCCAGGCCACAGCAGAGAGCUGGACUGGAAAAGGAGCAACUGGGACAGAAUCUGGCGCCCCGACUGGGACUAGAACCCAGUGUGCCGGCGCCGCAGAUGGAGGAUUAGCCAAGUGAGCCACAGUGCCGGCCAGGACAUAGUUUCCUAAAAGCAUAUCACCCUCCACUGCAUGUGCUAUGACCUUUACUCCACACCCCUGGUGAGAAACACAUUAUGACCACCUUUUAGGGCUUGCUAUAAACUCCCAUGUGGAGUAUUUCCCACUAUGGAUGCCUACCAGGUUACCUGGCCCAGGUAGGAGGGAUUCUACCACUGCCUGAGCCUGCGGCAGAAACCUUCCCUGCUCUGGGCCCCAAGUCAGAAUUGACUUUUUAGGUCAUCACUAUGGCAGACAGCAGAAUUCCCAGGUGUGGAAUAUUCUGCUUCCAGAAUCAAAGAAGCCUAAAAAGCCUGGUGAAAAGCCUACGGAAGCCUGGUGUUUCCUUCUUCCUGGUGGAAAUUGCAAGGGACAAUCAUGUACUUUCCUAUUGUUUUUGCAGAAAUUGCCAGCAUGUCCCAGACCCUAAACGUCUACACAAAUGAUGGACCUCUGGAGCACCUGUAUCUUACCAUCACCCUUAAGCUAAGGACGCAUCUGAUACUUGCAGGAGCCAGAUGUCAAAUGAAGUGGAGAAAUAACGGGACCACUGCCCCAGCAUACUUUUGGUCUUGAAGCAUGCCAGUGAUUUCUGCCCCUGCUCCCAGCUGCAGGGACACUUUCAAAGGUGUGUGCUCUGCUUUCCCACUCCCGCAGGCCAAGGAACCAACAUAGGGGUUGUGCCAACAUCCCAGUAUGUCGAUUCCAGUGAAACAUUCAGGAAUCAUGGAAUUGAUCACUCAGUGGAUCCAUAAACCCAGAGACCCAGUGUGCACUGGGCCAAGGCCAAGACCCCAAGUAGCAGUUGGCCUCAUAUGUCCUCCCUCUAAUAGGUGGCCCUGGUUUCAUUUUCAACUUAGGCCCCGUUGCGUUCAGUAGUUUCCAAACUGUGAGUAUUGCCUUUUGCUAAUGGAUGGUUACCUGAAUUAAUGGCUGUGGAUUCCUUGGUGGAAGGGUGGGGUCAUCAUCCAUUGAUGUUACAACAUUCUUCCUCCUCUUAGCCUCUCCUUCAGUCAAGAGUUUCAGGGCUCAUGACUGGUUAUUGAGCUGUUACCCGAAUUAUUUUGAUUGUACAGAUUGAACAGCUCACAUGGUCACUGCUCAUCUAUUUCACCCAGGAGGUCUUUGCUCUAUGAACCAUCUUCAUAAUUGGACAAGCAAGCCCACCUCUCUGAUUUCCCACCCCCCACUUGUGGUAAUUGCAUUCACCUGGCUUCUGACUCCUAAGCACUGCCACCUGGCCUCUGUUGUUUGCCAGCCCUGGAAUAUCCUACACACUGAUACAUCCUGCCAGCUUGUUUCCACUGUUAGAACGCCCCAGUUCACCAACUGGGGAAAGUUUCACAACUUGCACAUUUAGGAACUGCUACCUCGUGCCAAGCACCACCUAUGUGAUCCAUCUGCUACCAGCACACCAGGAGGGAGAUCCGGCUCCAGAAUCCCAUCUUGGUCUUUGCUCUCCCAGGCCCCUCUAUACCGAACUGACCCACGCUAGACUCCCGCAGAAGGCAAUCUCUGAGGUGGAGAUCAGCGUGCAGAGGUAUGCCCUUGGGAUUACCACCCGGGGCCAAGGAGCGGAAGGGCAGGGCAGGAAGCAGGCCUGGGGGAGGAAAAUGUUAGAGGAGGAGAGGGAAGGGGAAGGUAGGAAGGGGAGAGGAGAGAAAUGGGGAAUGAAGGGAAAGGAACAGCUGGGGUAAGCUGACAACGGGUUACAUAUCAUAUUCAAGAAAGGCCUCAGCCAACCCCCGGAGAGCUGUAACUCGGGAUGGCCCUUGCCACUUGUCUUGCGUCAGGCAGGCGGACUUGGCCUUUAUGGUCUCAUUGAUCAGGUAUUUGAUGUCUGCUGCCACAGGAGAUGGCCACAACUUUGGGCAAGAUGAUUUCUAGUAGAGUUAAUUCCAAAGAAGGUUGACAACUAAGGGCUGUGUGCUGACAGGAUUCCCAAUAGCCAGCGGAACAAGUCCUUCAGUCCUGAAGGAGGAUCCAAUGAAACAUCACAACUUCCACUACGGCGUAAUUCCACGAUCACAUUCAAAUUUAAGAUCAAUAUAGUAAUAUCCAGGACGAAGCACACUUGCAGGUUUUGCCCUUGUGCCCAAAUGCAUGUUAUACCUUUUUUAAAAUUUUUUUAUUUAGUAAAUAUAAAUUUCCAAAUUGGAAAUUUAUACCAUUAUUUUUAAAGAUUUAUUUAUUUGAGAGGCAAAGUUACAGACAGAGGGAGAAACAGAGAGAAGGCUUUCAUCUGCUGGUUCACUCCCCAGAAGGCUGCAACGGCCGGUGCUGGGCUACUCCAAAGCCGGGAGCCAGGAGCCUCCUCCAGGCCUCCGAUGGCGGUACAGAGGCCCAAGCACUUGGGCCAUCUUGCACUGCUUUCCCAGGAUAAUUAGGGAGCUGGAUCGGGAGUAGAGCAGCCAGUACUGGAACCGGCGGCCAUAUGGGAUGCCACUGCCACAGGCAGAGGCUUAAUCUAGUAUGUCACAGCGCUAGCCCCAUUUUAUAGCUAUUUUUAUUUUUAAAUUCAGCACCAAAUCAAGAAUCACUCAUUGCACUUAGUUGCCAUGUCUUUCUCUUCAGCCUUUUUGAAUUAGAUCAGCCCUCUGGUUGUAUUUUUGUUUAUGACUAUUGUUGUUUGGUAUUCAUGACACAUUUUGCAAAGGCCAGGAGAAAUGUCUCACAGUCUUUGUCUAAUUGUUUUCUCACUUGAUUAGGUUUGGCGAGAAUAUGAGUACUCCCACACAGGUCAAUUGUACCUGCUGCUGUCACACAUCAGAAAGUCAGGUUGUCCCUUAUUGGUGACACCGUUUGAUCUGGUAGCUGCCAGAGCUCUCCACUGUAAAGUCGCCCUUUCUUAUUUUGAAUUAACGAAGUAAUCUGUAAAGUGGUAUUCUGAGAUGAUUUGAAAAACCUGCUUCUCCCCACCUUCCACCCCAGUGGUUUUAUUGGCAUCCGUUUCUGAUCUGUUGCUACAUGAACGCCUGCACUGGUGAUUACAAAGUGAUUUGUCCAGUUCUGUCAUUUCCCUUGCAUGCAUGAGCAGGCAUUCUUCUGUAAAGAAGGUGUCCUCCUCCUUUUCUGGUAUCAUUACGUGGUCAGAGUCUCUUUUUUGGUAGGGGGGAGGUGUUGAAGUGUUACAGUUUAUAACCAUCUCAUGAUUCUCUCCAUCCUUAAAUUCUCUUGGAUUUGCCCAGGAGAAGCCCUUUCAAGCAGCUGUGCUAUUCUUGUACUGUGACACUGUCAGUCAUUGACCUCUUCCUUACUUGUGUUCCAAGAUUUUCUAGGCUCACCUUGUGCUGUUUUCCCUGCCCUAGAUUUGGGCAAGUUGACCUUCAUUACUGCAGGGGUAUCAUUGCAUUAGGGGCCUUGGAGUGGACAAACCCAGCAAAUACAUGUAUUUUAAAGUCAGACUUUAAAAUAAAUAAAUCUUUUCUAAAAAAGUCAUAAAGUGUAUUUUAAGUACACACUGAUGCCUUUGUUGCAAAUGUAAAACUAUGUAUUCCUUUCCUACUCUCAUUAUUUUUGUCUCCAUUUGCUUUUCCCUCAAAGUGAGAACUGUGGCUUCAGUAAUAUCACAAAUUUGUUUUGCCCUGCAAUACCUCUGCCUGUUUGUUCUCUGUUCAUGAUUCAUCCCAGUGGUUGUAAUCGUUAGUUAUCUGCAGAUGACUGCUUGCUGCAACACUCUGGCAUUUUCCCUGAGCGUCAUGCUAGCGUAACUACACCUAAUGAUUAAUGUCUGGCUGGAUGUCCCAUAUAAAACUCUAGUUGAAUAUGUUUGAUGUGAGUAUCCAAAACUACACUCAUCAUUCGCUCUCUAUUUUUUGAUGUCUACUUCAGGGAAGGAGGAACUGUGUUCCUCUGUCACUGAUAAAUGCCCAGUUUAUAGGUUCAGUACCUAGCAGGUAGUCAGGACUCAGUGAAUAAAUGCCUUUUAGAACAAUUCACCUUGCCAUAGUGCAUAUAACAGAUUACUUUGUGAAUACACAAAAACACCCACCACACUGAAUCAUACGCUUUAAAAGUGUAAAUCUUAUGGCAUGUGCAUUAUACCUCAUCAUGCUGCUAUUUUUAAAAAGAGGACUGACUGGAUGUGAGAAUGUGGAGGCAAGGGAGAAAGAACUUUUUGCAAGGACUGCAGCAAUAGAAAUGGAAUAGCUGCUUUCCAUAAGAGCACUGAGUAGAACUAUCUGUAGCAACUUAGUAGGACAUAGAUCUGAGACUGAAAUUUCUUCUUGAGAGCAGAGCACAAAUCCUUAUGAUACUCAGUCAAGGAUGAAAAGAACCAGAGUAAUGUGGCAAAGCUGAGCACUAGUUUAGAGAUCAGAGUUAGCACAAGAGUUACAGCUGGGGAUGAGUGGAUGCAGUGCCAACAAGGAUGCCACUUUUUAUUGUGUGAGCUCCACGAUUGCAUGAUUUUUAAUCUUAAAGAGCUUUCUUUUUUUUUCUUUUUGAUUUUUAUUUAAUGAAUACAAAUU